rnacentral:lncRNA from 1 species
CUCUUUUUGUUUCAAUAUAUUCAAAUUAUAAUACAUUUAUUUUUAUGUUUCUUUUUCAGAACUUGGAUUUUUUUUUGGACCGACCCAAAUCAAUUUUCCUCCGGGAGCCGGGGAUCCCCUUUUCAUUUCUACCUCUGAAAUCUACACUUUGAAUAUUUUAUGAACUUGGAUUUUCCUUUGUUUCAACCUAAACAGAGUGUCCUUCUUCGAGAGCCGGAACUUGGAUUUUUUUUUGGACCGACCCAAAUCAAUUUUCCUCCGGGAGCCGGGGAUCCCCUUUUCAUUUCUACUUCUGAACUCUACACUUUGAAUAUUUA